CAGCUCUUCUUCCAGGCAAACUUUCUGCGGGCUCCCUCUUGGCCUGGCUUCUUCCGUUCUCUCACACGUGGGUCAGUAGUAAGCAGUCCAGCUUGUCUCAUCCACUCGACCUCGUCCUCAGUGAGAAAGCUGCACAAGGCUUUUGCCAUUGCCAAUCGUACUGCUCCAGCCUGUGCCGACCUCCCACCCCCUGAGACUGUGCAGAUCACAUCGUGUUUCCCAAGCCAGUCAACAAAGUGGAAAGGGAACAUCAGCUGUUCUCUGCCCUGCAUGAUUG